UACGGAGGAUGCAAGCGUUAUCCGGAAUGAUUGGGCGUAAAGCGUCCGCAGGUGGCUGUGUAAGUCUGCUGUUAAAUAGUGAGGCUCAACCUCAUAAAGGCAGUGGAAACUACACGGCUAGAGUGCGUUCGGGGCAGAGGGAAUUCCUGGUGUAGCGGUGAAAUGCGUAGAGAUCAGGAAGAACACCGGUGGCGAAAGCGCUCUGCUGGGCCGACACUGACACUGAGAGACGAAAGCUAGGGGGGCAAAUGGG
rnacentral:rRNA from 1 species